AGCGAACGCUGGCGGCAGGCCUAACACAUGCAAGUCGAACGAACUCUUCGGAGUUAGUGGCGGACGGGUGAGUAACACGUGGGAACGUGCCUUUAGGUUCGGAAUAACUCAGGGAAACUUGUGCUAAUACCGAAUGUGCCCUUCGGGGGAAAGAUUUAUCGCCUUUAGAGCGGCCCGCGUCUGAUUAGCUAGUUGGUGAGGUACAGGCUCACCAAGGCGACGAUCAGUAGCUGGUCUGAGAGGAUGAUCAGCCACAUUGGGACUGAGACACGGCCCAAACUCCUACGGGAGGCAGCAGUGGGGAAUCUUGCGCAAUGGGCGAAAGCCUGACGCAGCCAUGCCGCGUGAAUGAUGAAGGUCUUAGGAUUGUAAAAUUCUUUCACCGGGGACGAUAAUGACGGUACCCGGAGAAGAAGCCCCGGCUAACUUCGUG
rnacentral:rRNA from 1 species